GGGGCUGUAGCUCAGCUGGAAAGAGCGUGCGGCUGGCAGCCGCAAGGUCGUGGGUUCGAGUCCCACCAGCUCCA
rnacentral:tRNA from 1 species